CCCUUAGAUGUUCUGGGCCGCACGCGCGCUACACUGAUGCAUUCAACGAGUUUCUUCCUGGUCCGAGAGGAAUGGGUAACCUUUUGAAAGUGCAUCGUGAUAGGGAUAGACUAUUGCAAUUAUUGGUCUUCAACGAGGAAUUCCUAGUAGACGUAGUUCAUCAGACUGCAUCGAUUACGUCCCUGCCCUUUGUACACACCGCCCGUCGCACCUACCGAUUGAAUGGUCCGGUGAGGACUCGGGAUUGUGGUUUAGCUCCUUCAUUGGGGCCUGACUGCGAGAACUUGUCCGAACCUUAUCAUUUAGAGGAAGGUGAAGUCGUAACA
rnacentral:rRNA from 1 species